AUUGAACGCUGGCGGCAGGCCUAACACAUGCAAGUCGAGCGACCGGCGGACGGGUGAUUCAUGUAUGUGGAUCUGCCCGAUAGAGGUGGAUACCUGCUGGAAACGGUAGCUAAUACCGCAUCCUGUCGGAUGAACCCAUAUUGGAUUAGCUAGUAGGUGAGGUAAUGGCUCACCAAGGCGACGAUCCCUAGCUGGUCUGAGAGGAUGAUCAGGCACACUGGGACUGAGACACGGCCCAGACUCCUACGAGAGGCAGCAGUGGGGAAUAUUGCACAAUGGGCGAAAGCCUGAUGCAGCCAUGCCGCGUGUAUGAAGAAGGCCUUCGGGUUGUAAAGUACUUUCAGUUGGGAGGCGUUACCGACAGAAGAAGCACCGGCUAACUUCGUGCCAGCAGCCGCGGUAAUAC
rnacentral:rRNA from 1 species